GACGAACGCUGGCGGCGUGCCUAAUACAUGCAAGUAGAACGCUGAAGAGAGGAGCUUGCUCUUCUUGGAUGAGUUGCGAACGGGUGAGUAACGCGUAGGUAACCUGCCUGGUAGCGGGGGAUAACUAUUGGAAACGAUAGCUAAUACCGCAUAAAAUUGAUUAUUGCAUGAUAAUUAAUUGAAAGAUGCAAUUGCAUCACUACCAGAUGGACCUGCGUUGUAUUAGCUAGUUGGUGAGGUAACGGCUCACCAAGGCGACGAUACAUAGCCGACCUGAGAGGGUGAUCGGCCACACUGGGACUGAGACACGGCCCAGACUCCUACGGGAGGCAGCAGUAGGGAAUCUUCGGCAAUGGGGGGAACCCUGACCGAGCAACGCCGCGUGAGUGAAGAAGGUUUUCGGAUCGUAAAGCUCUGUUGUAAGAGAAGAACGGGUGUGAGAGUGGAAAGUCACACUGUGACGUAUCUACCCAGAAAGACG
rnacentral:rRNA from 1 species